UAGGGAAUUUUCCACAAUGGGCGAAAGCCUGAUGGAGCAACGCCGCGUGCAGGAUGAAGGCCUUCGGGUUGUAAACUGCUUUUAUUUGUGAAGAUUAUGACGGUAACAAAUGAAUAAGGACCUGCUAACUACGUGCCAGCAGCCGCGGUCAUACGUGGGGUCCAAGCGUUAUCCGGAAUUACUGGGCGUAAAGAGUUGCGUAGGUGGCAAAGUAAGCAGGUAGUGAAAUUGUGUGGCUCAACCAUACACCCAUUAUCUAAACUGCUCAGCUAGAGUAUGGGAGAGGUCACUGGAAUUUCUAGUGUAGGAGUGAAAUCCGUAGAUAUUAGAAGGAACACCGAUGGCGUAGGCAGGUGACUGGCCCAUUACUGACACUAAGGCACGAAAGCGUGGGGAGCGAACUGGAUUAGAUACCCCGGUAGUCC
rnacentral:rRNA from 1 species